AGGAUGAACGCUGGCGGCGUGCUUAACACAUGCAAGUCGAACGGUGAAACAGGAGCUUGCUCCUGUGGAUCAGUGGCGAACGGGUGAGUAACACGUGAGAAAUCUGCCCUGGACUCUGGGAUAAGCGUUGGAAACGACGUCUAAUACCGGAUACGAGACGCGAAGGCAUCUUCAGCGUCUGGAAAGACUUCGGUCCAGGAUGAUCUCGCGGCCUAUCAGCUAGUUGGUGAGGUAACGGCCCACCAAGGCGACGAC
rnacentral:rRNA from 1 species